UUGAACUUUCAGAACUGCGUUGUGGUCAACAUCUUAAAAGGAGAGGUUGAUAGUGCUAAGUUGAUGGAGCUCUUAACUGCAACUUUCUGCAAGACUAGGCACUGGCAUUGGCAAAUCAGAGGGCUUUCUAGCAAGACUUUAUUGGUCAGGUUUCCCCCCUAGAAGAAGGUUGAGGACCUCAUUGAACUACCUGCCUUCUCGCUCCCACAAGAUGUUUUUGUCACUCUGAUUGAAUGAAAAGAAGCAUGUGACCCUUUUGGGGAGCUGAUUGAAGCUUGGGUUCUAGUUGAAGGGAUACCACCUAAGUGGUGUACAUGGAAAGUGUUUGCUCAAAUUACCUCAAUCUUUGGCCUUCUCAGUGAUGUUGACUGGAAUGGGAUGUUUAGAACCUUUUUUGAGAAUGUUAGGGUGAAAAUUUCUUGUAUGGAUCCUACUAAGAUACCUUUUGAGAGGUUGAUUGAGAUGAAAAAUAAAUUAUCCCUGUUAGGCUUUGCCGUGGAAGGAUUUGAACAAGCUGGUGGAAUAGAUUUUUUUUUUCAUUAA
rnacentral:rRNA from 1 species